GAUGAACGCUGGCGGCGUGCUUAACACAUGCAAGUCGAACGGAAAGGCUCCUGCUUGCAGGGGUACUCGAGUGGCGAACGGGUGAGUAACACGUGGGUGAUCUGCCCAGCACUUCGGGAUAAGCCUGGGAAACUGGGUCUAAUACCGGAUAGGACGAUGGUUUGGAUGCCAUUGUGGAAAGUUUUUUCGGUGUGGGAUGAGCUCGCGGCCUAUCAGCUUGUUGGUGGGGUAAUGGCCUACCAAGGCGUCGACGGGUAGCCGGCCUGGGAGGGUGUACGGCCACAUUGGGACUGAGAUACGGCCCAGACUCCUACGGGAGGCAGCAGUGGGGAAUAUUGCACAAUGGGCGCAAGCCUGAUGCAGCGACGCCGCGUGGGGGAUGACGGCCUUCGGGUUGUAAACUCCUUUCGCUAGGGACGAAGCGCAAGUGACGGUACCUGGAGAAGAAGCACCGGCUAACUACGUG
rnacentral:rRNA from 1 species